UACGGAGGGUGCGAGCGUUGUCCGGAAUCACUGGGCGUAAAGGGCGCGUAGGCGGCCUGAUAAGUCGGGGGUGAAAUCCUGCGGCUUAACCGCAGGGCUGCCUUCUAAACUGUCAGGCUAGAGCACAGUAGAGGCAGGUGGAAUUCCCGGUGUAGCGGUGGAAUGCGUAGAGAUCGGGAAGAACACCGGUGGCGAAGGCGGCCUGCUGGGCAGUGGCUGACACUGAGGCGCGACAGCGUGGGGAGCAAACAGG
rnacentral:rRNA from 1 species